rnacentral:rRNA from 1 species
UACGAAGGGGGCUAGCGUUGCUCGGAAUCACUGGGCGUAAAGCGCACGUAGGCGGAUUGCUAAGUCAGGGGUGAAAUCCUGGAGCUCAACUCCAGAACUGCCUUUGAUACUGGCGAUCUCGAGUCCGGGAGAGGUGAGUGGAACUGCGAGUGUAGAGGUGAAAUUCGUAGAUAUUCGCAAGAACACCAGUGGCGAAGGCGGCUCACUGGCCCGGUACUGACGCUGAGGUGCGAAAGCGUGGGGAGCAAAGAGG